rnacentral:rRNA from 1 species
UACGUAGGGGGCAAGCGUUUGUCCGGAAUCAUUGGGCGUAAAGAGCGCGUAGGCGGUCCGGUAAGUCCGCUCUGAAAGUCCGGGGCUCAACCCCGGGAGGCGGGCGGAUACUGUCGGGCUAGAGUCCGGAAGAGGCGAGUGGAAUUCCUGGUGUAGCGGUGAAAUGCGCAGAUAUCAGGAGGAACACCAGUGGCGAAGGCGGUCU